rnacentral:rRNA from 1 species
UACGUAGGGGGCGAGCGUUGUCCGGAUUUAUUGGGCGUAAAGAGCUCGUAGGCGGUUUGGUAAGUUGGAUGUGAAAUCUCCAGGCUCAACUUGGAGGGGUCAUUCGAUACUGCCAUGACUAGAGUUCGGUAGGGGAGUGUGGAAUUCCUGGUGGAGCGGUGAAAUGCGCAGAUAUCAGGAGGAACACCGGUGGCGAAGGCGGGUCUCUGGGCCGAUACUGACGCUGAGGAGCGAAAGCGUGGGGAGCAAACAGG